rnacentral:rRNA from 1 species
GACGAACGCUGGCGGCGUGCUUAACACAUGCAAGUCGAACGGAAAGGCCCCUUUGGGGGUACUCGCGUGGCGAACGGGUGAGUAACACGUGAGUAACCUGCCCUUGACUUCGGGAUAACUUCAGGAAACUGGGGCUAAUACCGGAUAGGAAUCCUUGCUGCAUGGUGGGGGUUGGAAAGCUUCGGCGGUUUUGGAUGGACUCGCGGCUUAUCAGCUUGUUGGUGGGGUAGUGGCUUACCAAGGCUUUGACGGGUAGCCGGCCUGAGAGGGCGACCGGCCACAUUGGGACUGAGAUACGGCCCAGACUCCUACGGGAGGCAGCAGUGGGGAAUAUUGCACAAUGGGCGGAAGCCUGAUGCAGCAACGCCGCGUGCGGGAUGACGGCCUUCGGGUUGUAAACCGCUUUCGGCAGGGGCGAAGCUUGUGGUGACGGUACCUGCAGAAGAAGCACCGGCUAACUACGUG